CCCCACGCGCCCCACACGCCCCACGCGCUGCAGGUACAAGUGAACGACAGCUCCGAGCACAGCAACAGCCAGACCACCUCCUCCACCAACAACCACCUCAACGUGCACAACAACCACCCGCCUGAAGUGAAGCGCUACAGCAAGCACUCGCUGCAGCAC